GGCGGACGGGUGAGUAAUGCCUGGGAAAUUGCCCUGAUGUGGGGGAUAACCAUUGGAAACGAUGGCUAAUACCGCAUAAUGUCUACGGACCAAAGAGGGGGACCUUCGGGCCUCUCGCUUCAGGAUAUGCCCAGGUGGGAUUAGCUAGUUGGUGAGGUAAUGGCUCACCAAGGCGACGAUCCCUAGCUGGUCUGAGAGGAUGAUCAGCCACACUGGAACUGAGACACGGUCCAGACUCCUACGGGAGGCAGCAGUGGGGAAUAUUGCACAAUGGGCGCAAGCCUGAUGCAGCCAUGCCGCGUGUAUGAAGAAGGCCUUCGGGUUGUAAAGUACUUUCAGUCGUGAGGAAGGCGUUGNAGUUAAUAGCUUCAUCGUUUGACGUUAGCGACAGAAGAAGCACCGGCUAACUCCGUGCCAGCAGCCGCGGUAAUACGGAGGGUGCGAGCGUUAAUCGGAAUUACUGGGCGUAAAGCGCAUGCAGGUGGUUUGUUAAGUCAGAUGUGAAAGCCCGGGGCUCAACCUCGGAACCGCAUUUGAAACUGGCAGGCUAGAGUACUGUAGAGGGGGGUAGAAUUUCAGGUGUAGCGGUGAAAUGCGUANAGAUCUGAAGGAAUACCAGUGGCGAAGGCGGCCCCCUGGACAGAUACUGACACUCAGAUGCGAAAGCGUGGGGAGCAAACAGGA
rnacentral:rRNA from 1 species